UGUAAAGAACCAGAUCUCCCAUUACUGUUGAAAGUGAACGAUCACUCUCCUCACCCUGAGUCUGCAUCUCUAAUUGGCAAAAGAAGUCGAAGAAAUUGAAGGAGUAGAGCAUUCAUGGCGGGUGGAGAACACGGUCACGGAGAGGGAACCCAUGGAGACUUCAGAACCAAGGUUUGGACUAUGACUGGUGGCCCAAAUUGCAGGCCUCAGCACUGGAAGCGAAACACGGCUAUCGCCAUGGCAGGGAUCUUUCUUAUUUGCAUUCCCAUCGCCAUGAAAUCCGCAGAACUCGAGCAACGGCCUCAUCCUCCUGUUCGCCCAAUUCCUUCACAGCUCUGGUGCAAGAAUUUUGGAAAUAAGGAAUACUGAUCAUACUUGAUGAUAUUAUUGAAGAGUGUUCAGACACAGAAUUCAUCAAGGAACCAGUGUGAUAUUUAAUUUUGGUAAUUACUGAGGAUCUGUUUCAGUUAUCCAUGGUUGUUGUUUAAACAGUGUCUACUUAUAUUUGAAUCAUCGACAUGCUCGAAUGGAGCGUCACAGUGCAUAUGUGUGUUGUUAAGGAGAAUAAAUCUUG